ACAACGCCGGGGCAGGCCGGGACAUCGCUUCCCCCGCCUCUCACCCACCGGACCGGGCAGUGGCGAACUCAGCCCCGCCUCAGAAGCCGCCUCAAGGCCGGGACAGUAGGUCGGCCCCGCUCCCCUCCCCUCCGGCGCGGGCCCAGUGCCGCCGCAGCAGGGCCUGGCACAAGCCCUGAACAGCCCAUGGAGGUUAACAGUGGAGCAGAUAUCCACCUGGAGCCCGUGGAGGUUAACAGCGGAGCAGAUAUCCGCCUGGAGCCCGUGGAGGUUAACAGUGGAGCAGAUAUCCACCUGCAGCAUGUCUAGGAUGCCAUGCCAGAGCAGGGUCACUUGGAAUGAUCUCAGCAUUUCCAUAUGAGCAGUAAAGAGCUCCUCUUUCCAGUAGAAAAGGACUUGCUUUCUGGUCCAACAGAUCACCAUGAAACUGAGAGAACACUGACCUGCAUUUUGCAACAGACCCCUUGAUACAGCAGUGCUGAAUAUUGGCUGAUACUUCAGACAAGGUUACAGAAAGCUGGAGCAUCUAAAGUGACAGCUAACUGACAUGGAUGAAAAAAGUGAAACUGAGCAGGAUUUGGGACAACUAGACCCAUGAACUGGAGCGAGCCUACCAAAGGAGACAAGCUGUCCUCCAGAUGCACAGCCUGUCAGCUCCUCACGACCUGCUCAAACCUAGAGUGUGGAAACCGGGACACCAGCUGCGUCUUCCUACUGGAUCUCAGCUCUUUUCUAGGCAGGUACCCUGACCUCCACUGCAAACCAGUCCAGCUGGCUCACUUCACGUAAAAGCUCAAAGUCUGCAUCAGAAAGACACAGGCAGGCCCCAGAGUGACUCUGAAACAUGGUUUUGGGUGCCAUCCCACAAGGCGGAAGAAAUGGGCUCAGCUGCAUUCAGGCAGAAAAAGGGCUGAAUCCAGCAUGCCGCACACGGUGGGCAAGGGCUAGGCAUAACAAUUCCCUCCAUUCUGA